rnacentral:tRNA from 1 species
GGUAGUGUAGCUCAGCGGUAGAGCAGCGUCUUGAUAAGGCGUUGGUCGCAGGUUCGAUCCCUGCCACUACCACCA